rnacentral:pre_miRNA from 1 species
AGUAGAAUUGCUGGAUUAUAUAGUAACUCUAUGUUUAACAUUUUGAGGAACUGCCAAAUAGUUUUCCAAAGUGGCUGUACUAUUUUACAAUUCCAUCAGCAAU